GAUUAGGUGGCCGACGGUUUAAGGCGAUGGACUGCUAAUCCAUUUGGGUUUUCCCGCGUAAGUUCGAAUGUCAUCCCGAUCG
rfam:Angiostrongylus cantonensis strain Taiwan genome assembly, scaffold: ACAC_scaffold0001632